rnacentral:sRNA from 1 species
CAUCCUGUAACCAAUUAGACAAGAUAUGCUCAAUUUGUUCAGCAUUUGGGCUGUGGUGCAGCCGGAAGCUUUGGCCUGAGGAUAUACGCAGCAGCUCUCGUUAAAUUGAUGAGCUGAGAUAGUUUCUGACUUCACCAUCUGGAAUUCUAGUCUGGGGUUCUGCUAAAAGCUGCUGACCCACGAUUCAAC